rnacentral:rRNA from 1 species
AUGGGGCGACCACCGGAGUCGCCGCCGGUAUCUUCGUCGCGGUCCGCUGAUCUGCCGCCGUCAACGUCGAUCGCCUCCUCCUCCUCAUAUCUCGCGGCACAGCCCGAUCCCAUCCAGCCGGAUCAGAUCGAGGUUGCGUGUGAGGCGGAUGAGUGUGCGGAGGAGGGAAUGCGUUGGGCCGUGCAUUUCCGAGAUGGCCAUGGGGAAUGGAUCAGCGGGCGUCUGCAUCAUUCUCCGGCAUCUCGCUGGACGACGUUGCUGGAUAUGGACAACGACGUCCGCGCCGGCGAACAUGUUGCGACUGGCGACCAGGUGACGGUAGGAUCUAAAUUGCGUAUUGAUAUUUAG